rnacentral:snRNA from 1 species
AUACUUACCUAGCAGGGGAGAUACCAUGAUCACGAAGGUGGUUUUCCCAGGGUGAGGCUUAUCCAUUGCUCUCUAGAUGUGCUGACCCCUGCAAUUUCCCCAAAUGUGGGAAACUCAACUGCAUAAUUUGUGGUAGUGGGGGACUGCGUUCGCGCUCUCCCCUG